rnacentral:rRNA from 1 species
CCUACGGGAGGCAGCAGUGAGGAAUAUUGGUCAAUGGGCGUGAGCCUGAACCAGCCAAGUCGCGUGAGGGAAGACGGCCCUAUGGAUUGUAAACUUCUUUUGUCCGGGAGUAAAAGACGCCACGCGUGGCGUUUUGUGAGUACCGGAUGAAAAAGGACCGGCUAACUCCGUGCCAGCAGCCGCGGUAAUACGGAGGGUCCGAGCGUUAUCCGGAUUUAUUGGGUUUAAAGGGAGCGUAGGCGGGAUGUUAAGUUAGUCGUGAAAGUUUGUGGCUCAACCGUCGAAUUGCAGUGGAAACUGGCAGGCUUGAGUGCAGUGAAGGUAUGCGGAAUUCGUGGUGUAGCGGUGAAAUGCUUAGAUAUCACGAAGAACUCCGAUUGCGAAGGCAGCACACUGGAGUGCUACUGACGCUGAAGCUCGAAAGUGUGGGUAUCGAACAGGAUUAGAUACCCGUGUAGUC